rnacentral:rRNA from 1 species
CCUACGGGAGGCAGCAGUGAGGAAUAUUGGUCAAUGGGCGUAAGCCUGAACCAGCCAAGUCGCGUGAGGGAUGAAGGUUCUAUGGAUCGUAAACCUCUUUUAUAAGGGAAUAAAGUGUGGGACGUGUCCUGUUUUGUAUGUACCUUAUGAAUAAGGAUCGGCUAACUCCGUGCCAGCAGCCGCGGUAAUACGGAGGAUCCGCGCGUUAUCCGGAUUUAUUGGGUUUAAAGGGUGUGUAGACGGCCUUUUAAGUCAGCGGUGAAAGUCUGUGGCUCAACCAUAGAAUUGCAGUUGAAACUGGGAGGCUUGAGUAUGUUUGAGGCAGGCGGAAUGCGUGGUGUAGCGGUGAAAUGCUUAGAUAUCACGCAGAACCCCGAUUGCGAAGGCAGCCUGCCAAGCCAUGACUGACGCUGAUGCACGAAAGCGUGGGGAUCAAACAGGAUUAGAUACCCUAGUAGUC